UACGUAGGGUGCAAGCGUUGUCCGGAAUCAUUGGGCGUAAAGAGCGUGUAGGCGGCUCGAUUAGUCCGCUGUAAAGUCCAGGGCUCAACCCUGGGAUGCCGGUGGAAACUGUCGGGCUAGAGUCCGGGAGAGGCGAGUGGAAUUCCUGGUGUAGAGGUGAAAUUCGUAGAUAUUGGGAAGAACACCGGUGGCGAAGGCGGCUCACUGGCUCGUAACUGACGCUC
rnacentral:rRNA from 1 species